rnacentral:rRNA from 1 species
AACGAACGCUGGCGGCAUGCCUAACACAUGCAAGUCGAACGAGAUCUUCGGGUCUAGUGGCGCACGGGUGCGUAACGCGUGGGAAUCUGCCCUUUGGUUCGGAGUAACAGUUGGAAACGACUGCUAAUACCGGAUGAUGACGAAAGUCCAAAGAUUUAUCGCCAGAGGAUGAGCCCGCGUAGGAUUAGCUAGUUGGUGUGGUAAAGGCGCACCAAGGCGACGAUCCUUAGCUGGUCUGAGAGGAUGAUCAGCCACACUGGGACUGAGACACGGCCCAGAGUCCUACGGGAGGCAGCAGUGGGGAAUAUUGGACAAUGGGCGAAAGCCUGAUCCAGCAAUGCCGCGUGAGUGAUGAAGGCCUUAGGGUUGUAAAGCUCUUUUACCCGGGAUGAUAAUGACAGUACCGGGAGAAUAAGCUCCGGCUAACUCCGUGCCAGCAGCCGCGGUAA